rnacentral:rRNA from 1 species
UACGGGGGGGGGCAAGCGGUUGUUCGGAAUUACUGGGCGUAAAGGGCUCGUAGGUGGCCAACUAAGUCAGACGUGAAAUCCCUCGGCUUAACCGGGGAACUGCGUCUGAUACUGGAUGGCUUGAGUGUGGGAGAGGGAUGGCGGGAAUUCCAGGUGUAGCGGUGAAAUGACGUAGAUAUCUGGAGGAACACCGGUGGCGAAGGCGGCAUCCUGGACCAUUACUGACACUGAAUAGCGAAAGCCAGGGGAGCAAACGGG